rnacentral:rRNA from 1 species
AUGAAGGGCUUACGGUGGAUACCUAGGGAUUUAGAAGCGAAGAAGGGCGUGGCAACCCACGAAAGACUUCGGGGAGCUGGCAGCAAGCGUAGAUCCGGAGAUACCCGAAUGAGGCAACUCAAAAGCGAAAGCGCGAACCUAGCGAACUGAAACAUCUUAGUAGCUAGAGGAAAAGAAAGCAAACGCGAUUCCCUGCAGUAGUGGCGAGCGAAAGGGGAAGAGCCUAAACCAUGACAUCAUGGGGUAGUGGGAGAAGCAUCACACGUACAUCAAGGGUUAGUUUAAGCGUAUGGAAACACGCUCCAGAGAAGGUGAUAGGCCUGUGAACGAAAACCUAAGCUGACGUAGCUUCAUCCCGAGUAGUAUGGGGCACGUGAAACCCCGUAUGAAUCAGCGAGGACCACCUCGUAAGGCUAAAUAUUCCUAAAUCACCGAUAGUGAACUAGUACCGUGAGGGAAAGGUGAAAAGAACCCCGGGAGGGGAGUGAAAGAGAACAUGAAACCGUAAGCUUACAAGCAGUAGGGGGACGACUUAUCGUUUUCCUGCGUGCCUGUUGAAGAAUGAGCCGGCGACUUAUUAGCAGUGGCAGGUUAAGGCAAAGAAUGCCGGAGCCCCAGUGAAAGCGAGCUUGAAGAGAGCGUACGUCACUGUUAAUAGACCCGAACCCGGAUGAUCUAACCAUGGCCAGGGUGAAGCUUAGGUAAAACUAAGUGGAGGCCCGAACCGACU